rnacentral:rRNA from 1 species
GAUGAACGCUGGCGGCGUGCCUAACACAUGCAAGUCGAGCGAUUUACCUCGGUAAAGAGCGGCGGACGGGUGAGUAACGCGUGGGUAACCUGCCUCAUACACAUGGAUAACAUACCGAAAGGUAUGCUAAUACAAGAUGAUAUAAGAGAUUCGCAUGGAUUUCUUAUCAAAGCUUUUGCGGUAUGAGAUGGACCCGCGUCUGAUUAGCUAGUUGGUAGGGUAACGGCUUACCAAGGCGACGAUCAGUAGCCGACCUGAGAGGGUGAUCGGCCACAUUGGAACUGAGACACGGUCCAAACUCCUACGGGAGGCAGCAGUGGGGAAUAUUGCACAAUGGGCGAAAGCCUGAUGCAGCAACGCCGCGUGAGCGAUGAAGGCCUUCGGGUCGUAAAGCUCUGUCCUCAAGGAAGAUAAUGACGGUACUUGAGGAGGAAGCCCCGGCUAACUACGUGCCAGCCGCCGCUGUAAUAC